UACGUAGGGUGCAAGCGUUGUCCGGAAUUAUUGGGCGAAAAGCGCGCGUAGGCGGUAGAAUAAGUCUGAUGUGAAAGCCCACGGCUCAACCGUGGAGGGUCAUUGGAAACUGGGAGACUUGAGUGCAGAAGAGGAAAGUGGAAUUCCAUGUGUAGCGGUGAAAUGCGCAGAGAUAUGGAGGAACACCAGUGGCGAAGGCGACUUUCUGGUCUGUAACUGACGCUGAUGUGCGAAAGCGUGGGGAUCAAACAGG
rnacentral:rRNA from 1 species